GCUUGAGAGGUUUAGUUGGUAGAUAAUUGCGCUAACAACGCAAAGGUCGUGGGUUCAAAUCCCAGGGGAAGCA